rnacentral:lncRNA from 1 species
AAAUCCUUAAGUGUCUUGUUCCCUAUGAGAGGUAAACAGUCAAAGAUAAUUACUUUUACUUUCAGAAAAGUAUUACUUUAAUAUACCUUGUACGAGUUAAAAAGAAAAAAAAACUAAAGUCAAAAGUUGGACUGUGUUCUAGACCACGAGUAAUGUUUGCAUCUUAUACAGAUUCAAGUCACGGAAAAUCUAUAUCGUGUAUCUUUUCAAUAAAUUACAUUUGGUGCUCCUCCAAAAAUUAGACACUGUCAAUAAGGCAGAUCGAAUUAAUAAAAAAUAAGACCAUAGUGGCUAGUUUCUUACAGCUAUAGGAGACAAAGAUGACAACACCUCACUCACACACACUAUCUGAAACCUCUCGUCCCAAGCAGGGGCGCAGAAAACCAGAGCCUAACCUGGCAACACUGGGCACAAGGCUGGAGGGGGAGGGGACACACCCAGGACAGGAUGCCCAUUCGUCACAAGGCACCCCAAGUGGGACUUGACCCCCAGACCCACUGGAGAGCAGGCACAGGCUAAACCUGCUGUGCUACUACACCACCCAACAACACAUCACCCACACUUUCUGAACCGCUUGUCCCAUAGGGGCUCACAGGGAACCGGAGCCUACCCAGCAACACAGGGCGUAAGGCCGGAGGGGACACACCCAGGACGGGACGCCAGUCCGUCACAAGGCACCCCAAGUGGGACUCGAACCCCAGACCCACUGGAGAGCAGGACCUGGUCCAACCCACUGCACCACCGCACCCCCAACAACAUAUCAUACAGAGAAAGCCAAAGCUGUGGUCUGGGCGAGGACCUGAUCCUGGUCUGACAUGCUAAUGAAGCCCAAAGCCGACAUCAGAAAGACAUUUUUAUCUGAACCUGUUUAUUUAUUUAUUUUGUUGGACACCUAAUUCACCUGGAAUCAUUUCACUGACAUUCAAAGUCUCCUUCUAUGAUACAUGAAGUUUCACAAUAAAAAAACCAUUAAAGAAAAAUGAACA